rnacentral:rRNA from 1 species
AAGCAGCCACCAUUUAAAAAGUGCGUAACAGCUUACUGGUCGAGGAAUCUGGCGCCGAUAAUGAUCGGGGAUAAGGUGUAUGCCGAAACCGCGGACGUCUUCGGACGUGGUAGGAGAGCGUAGCUAUCAGCGUUGAAGCUUGCCCGGAAGGGCUGGUGGAGCGGUAGCUAGUGAAUAUGUCGGCUUGAGUAACGAUAAACGGAGUGAGAAUCUCCGUCGCCGAAAACCUAAGGUUUCCUGGGGAAGGUAAUUCCGCCCAGGGUUAGGCGGUACCUAAGGCGAGGCCGAAAGGCGUAGUCGAUGGACAGCAGGUUAAUAUUCCUGCCCUUUCAUGUGAGGUUGAUCCGGCGUGACGGAUCAUGAAGUUCGACGGCACAGUGAAGCGUGCAGGCCUUCGGGCCGAUGUCGGGUGGAUUGGUUCCAAGAAAAGCCGUCCGGGGACGAUCAUGGAAGCCGUACUAAAACUGACACAGGUAGGUGUGGCGAAAAGCCUCAGGCGCUCGAGAUAAUGGUCGUGAAGGAACUAGGCAAAUUGACCCCGUACGUUCGCAAUAAGGGGGCCCUCCUCGCAAGAGAGGGCGCAGAGAAGAGGCUCUGGGGACUGUUUAUCAAAAACACAGCACUGUGCUAACUCGCAAGAGGACGUAUACAGUGUGACGCCUGCCCGGUGCCGGAAGGUUAAGGGAGUCGGUUAGCUUCGGCGAAGCUGGCGACCGAAGCCCCGGUAAACGGCGGCCGUAACUAUGACGGUCCUAAGGUAGCGAAAUUCCUUGUCGGGUAAGUUCCGACGCGCAUGAAUGGCGUAACCACUGGAGCACUGUCUCCACGACCAACUCGGUGAAAUAGUAGUGGCGGUGAAGAUGCCGCCUACCCGCAGCAAGACGGAAAGACCCCGUGGAGCUUUACUGUACGCUUGCACUGGUCACGGAUUUAUUCUGCGUAGGAUAGGUGGGAGGCUUUGAAACCGGGAUUCUGGUCCUGGUGGAGCCAUCCUUGAAAUACCACCCUGAAUACAUUUGUGGCCUAACCCUGAUUCCCAUGAAGCUGGGCAGGGGACAAUGCAUGCCGGGCAGUUUGACUGGGGCGGUCUCCUCCUAAAAAGUAACGGAGGAGCGCAAAGGUCAGCUCAGUGCGGUUGGAAACCGCAUGAUAGAGUGUAAGUGCAUAAGCUGGCUUUACUGCGAGACAUACAAGUCAAGCAGUCUCGAAAGAGGGCACUAGUGAUCCGGCAGUUCUGUGUGGAAGGGCUGUCGCUCAACGGAUAAAAGCUACCCCGGGGAUAACAGGCUGAUCGCUCCCGAGCGUCCAUAGCGGCGGAGCGGUUUGGCACCUCGAUGUCGGCUCAUCACAUCCUGGGGCUGAAGGCGGUCCCAAGGGUUCGGCUGUUCGCCGAUUAAAGUGGUACGCGAGCUGGGUUCAGACCGGCGUGAGCCAGGUCGGUCCCUAUCUGCUGUGGGCGUUGCAAUGUUGAGAGGAAACUUCUUUAGUACGAGAGGAUUGGGAAGGACGCACCCCUGGUGAGCCAGUUGGACCGCUCGGUCCACCGCUGGGUAGCUAAGUGCGGCAGGGAUAACCGCUGAAAGCAUCUAAGCGGGAAGCCCACCUCGAGAUGAGCAUUGCUUUGAGACCCCCGAAAGACUAUCGGGUUGAUAGGUCGCACGUGUAAGUGCCGAAAUGCAUUCAGCGAAGCGAUACUAACGGUCGAAGAUUUGACCGU